rnacentral:rRNA from 1 species
CAGCCGCCACGGGAAUACGGAGGGAGCUAGCGUUGUUCGGAAUUACUGGGCGUAAAGCGUACGUAGGCGGUUAUUCAAGUCAGAGGUGAAAGCCUGGAGCUCAACUCCAGAACUGCCUUUGAAACUAGAUAGCUAGAAUCACGGAGAGGUUAGUGGAAUUCCGAGUGUAGAGGUGAAAUUCGUAGAUAUUCGGAAGAACACCAGUGGCGAAGGCGACUAACUGGACGUGUAUUGACGCUGAGGUACGAAAGCGUGGGGAGCAAACAGGAUUAGAUACCCCAGUAGUCCCUGUCUCUUAUAC